UAGGCGUAACGCUUCUCCAGCCUGUGCUGCCCCAAGCUUAUACGAGUAGAUUGGGAUACGGGGCUCCGGCGGCGGACCUCGCCAUGUGCUGCGCCGCGACCUCACCGGCGGGCGGCGGCUACGCUGCGACCUCGCGGUGUUCCUACGUACAGGUGACAACCAGUUCCAUCCCCGCGUCGCCAUUCUCCACCUCGGUGUCACCCCCUCACCACACACGGCACCUACCUCCGCCAUCUGCCGACGCCUAGAUCCGCCAUCCGCCGACGCCGUAGAAGAAAAAUCCGGCCUUCAGGUGUAAGAAAAUGGAACUACAUUCCUACAGAUUUAGUAUUUUUGUGCUAUGUGUCAUGGCAUGCCUUAAUGCAUUGCUAAAUAUAUGUUGCUGCACUCAGGAAAAAGAGCAAGUAGCGUCUACAAAGGUUCAACAUCAGCAGAUUGUUCUACUUACCAAGGCGGACAUGACAACUCAAACGCACAGCCCAACCCAUUGGAGAGGACACCCUUUACUUUCCGAGUUUCCGUUAAAUAAUGGAUGAAAAAAUGCCUUUGUUCAUGUGAUAUAUGGACCUAGUUCAAGUACGCCUGUUGAAUAUGUUGGUCCAAUAUAUGUAUACCCGCUAAUUUGUUAUGCCUUGGUUGUAAAUAUUGAGCUGCAACUCUAGUUAUGCACUUCAUGUUAGAUUUGUGUGUUUUGUCACGCGGUGGUUCAUGAUAUUACUGUCGUACUAUGAGCUUUGAAAUGGCAAGAUGGUUGU